AAACCGGUUCUUUUCAGAGCCAUACCUGUUAUGGUGUAGAAUAUUUU
rfam:Niastella yeongjuensis strain 17621 contig30, whole genome shotgun sequence.